UCAUCCUUAUGCACCGUGCAUAAACUUUCUCGCGCGCCCCCAAUCCAUUUCUUCUCGCGCCCCCAUACAAAACCACAAUAACCUUGAAGCGAAGUUACGAAUGAUCGUUGACAAGGUCGGUCAAUUCUUCUCCGGCAACGACCUUCUUCCCUCCUGCGAUUCCGAUAUCAUCGCUUUGAUAAUGACAAGAAGGAUUUUGCGAAAUUGAAAGAUUUAGUAGGAGAAGAAGAAGAAGACAACACUGAUUAUGUUCCUAAAGUUUCUGCUGCAAGCCUCACAGAACGAGAAUAAGAACUUUUGAUUUUGAAAGCGGUGAAGAGUAACUCAACAGGAUCAUCGAAGCUUUGGAAGUUACGUGAUCCAAAAUUAAGAAGUAACAGUAACGGAAAAGGUUCAUGUUUUUUAAUCUAACUCUCGAUACUCACUCAUCAUCACCGUCGCCAACAACAACGUCGCCAGAAUCAUCCUCAAAAUGGUAAAACCAAAAGAGGGCAUGAAGCGUCCAUUCAAGCCGAUGAAAGACCUCAACAUGGACAAGGUCAUCUCUGAUAUCAUUACCGAUUUAUCAAAUUCUAGCUGAUUCUGGUUGUUUUACAACUCCGCUCUUGGCUUGAUUUGUGUAGUUGAGUUAGAUAAAUUGAUUUAAUGAUUGUUGGAGAUAAUAUACAAGGUGCUGUGUUUGGAGAGCUGCUAGAUUGCCUCUUGAAACCUACAAACAUCAAAGAGAAAAUAUCAAGCUUGAUGCUACUUGCAUCUCUUGGAAGCGAAUGCGAGGAAACUAUGUUAAAACAAUUGAUGUUGUUGGAGUUUGGCAAGAGAACAAUGUUGUUGAAACUGAAAAGACCAUUGAAGCUCUUAAAAGAGUUGCAUAGUAAAUUUAGAAAAGUUCUCAGAAUUGAUGUUAUUCUUGUUGUAUAAAUUGUUGUAGACCUUUGGAUGUAUUUAUAUAUUUUAAGUUAUUUUAUGUGUCAUCUUGGGUAGAAAUUGUAAUAUCACCACAUACAUAUUGUAAAGAAUUUAGACCUA